ACGAACGCUGGCGGCGUGCUUAACACCUGCAAGUCGCACGGAAAGGCCCUGCUUUUGUGGGGUGCUCGAGUGGCGAACGGGUGAGUAACACGUGAGUAACCUGCCCUUGACUUUGGGAUAACUUCAGGAAACUGGGGCUAAUACCGGAUAGGAGCUCCUGCUGCAUGGUGGGGGUUGGAAAGUUUCGGCGGUUGGAGAUGGACUCGCGGCUUAUCAGCUUGUUGGUGGGGUAGUGGCUUACCAAGGCUUUGACGGGUAGCCGGCCUGAGAGGGUGACCGGCCACAUUGGGACUGAGAUACGGCCCAGACUCCUACGGGAGGCAGCAGUGGGGAAUAUUGCACAAUGGGCGGAAGCCUGAUGCAGCAACGCCGCGUGCGGGAUGACGGCCUUCGGGUUGUAAACCGCUUUCGCCUGUGACGAAGCGUGAGUGACGGUAAUGGGUAAAGAAGCACCGGCUAACUACGUG
rnacentral:rRNA from 1 species